rnacentral:rRNA from 1 species
CCUACGGGCGGCAGCAGUGGGGAAUAUUGGACAAUGGGGGGAACCCUGAUCCAGCCAUGCCGCGUGUGUGAAGAAGGCCCUCGGGUUGUAAAGCACUUUCAGUGAGGAAGAACGCCUGGUGGUGAAUACCCAUCAGGAAAGACAUCACUCACAGAAGAAGCACCGGCUAACUCCGUGCCAGCAGCCGCGGUAAUACGGAGGGUGCGAGCGUUAAUCGGAAUUACUGGGCGUAAAGCGCGCGUAGGUGGCUUGAUAAGCCGGUUGUGAAAGCCCCGGGCUCAACCGGGGAACGGCAUCCGGAACUGUCAAGCUAGAGUGCAGGAGAGGAAAGUAGAAUUCCCGGUGUAGCGGUGAAAUGCGUAGAGAUCGGGAGGAAUACCAGUGGCGAAGGCGGCCUUCUGGACUGACACUGACACUGAGGUGCGAAAGCGUGGGUAGCAAACAGGAUUAGAUACCCGAGUAGUC